rnacentral:rRNA from 1 species
GUAUAGACCCGAAACCCGGUGAUCUAGCCAUGGGCAGGUUGAAGGUUGGGUAACACUAACUGGAGGACCGAACCGACUAAUGUUGAAAAAUUAGCGGAUGACCUGUGGCUGGGGGUGAAAGGCCAAUCAAACCGGGAGAUAGCUGGUUCUCCCCGAAAGCUAUUUAGGUAGCGCCUCGUGAAUUCAUCUCCGGGGGUAGAGCACUGUUUCGGCUAGGGGGCCAUCCCGGCUUACCAACCCGAUGCAAACUGCGAAUACCGGAGAAUGUUAUCACGGGAGACACACGGCGGGUGCUAACGUCCGUCGUGAAGAGGGAAACAACCCAGACCGCCAGCUAAGGUCCCAAAGUCAUGGUUAAGUGGGAAACGAUGUGGGAAGGCCCAGACAGCCAGGAUGUUGGCUUAGAAGCAGCCAUCAUUUAAAGAAAGCGUAAUAGCUCACUGGUCGAGUCGGCCUGCGCGGAAGAUGUAACGGGGCUAAACCAUGCACCGAAGCUGCGGCAGCGACACUGUGUGUUGUUGGGUAGGGGAGCGUUCUGUAAGCCUGUGAAGGUGUGUCGUGAGGCAUGCUGGAGGUAUCAGAAGUGCGAAUGCUGACAUAAGUAACGAUAAAGCGGGUGAAAAGCCCGCUCGCCGGAAGACCAAGGGUUCCUGUCCAACGUUAAUCGGGGCAGGGUGAGUCGACCCCUAAGGCGAGGCCGAAAGGCGUAGUCGAUGGGAAACGGGUUAAUAUUCCCGUACUUGGUGUUACUGCGAAGGGGGGACGGAGAAGGCUAUGUUGGCCGGGCGACGGUUGUCCCGGUUUAAGCGUGUAGGUGUGUGUUCCAGGUAAAUCCGGUUCACUUUAACACUGAGGCGUGACGACGAGGCACUACGGUGCUGAAGCAACAAAUGCCCUGCUUCCAGGAAAAGCCUCUAAGCAUCAGGUAACAUCAAAUCGUACCCCAAACCGACACAGGUGGUCAGGUAGAGAAUACCAAGGCGCUUGAGAGAACUCGGGUGAAGGAACUAGGCAAAAUGGUGCCGUAACUUCGGGAGAAGGCACGCUGACACGUAGGUGAAGUGAUUUACUCAUGGAGCUGAAGUCAGUCGAAGAUACCAGCUGGCUGCAACUGUUUAUUAAAAACACAGCACUGUGCAAACACGAAAGUGGACGUAUACGGUGUGACGCCUGCCCGGUGCCGGAAGGUUAAUUGAUGGGGUCAGCGCAAGCGAAGCUCCUGAUCGAAGCCCCGGUAAACGGCGGCCGUAACUAUAACGGUCCUAAGGUAGCGAAAUUCCUUGUCGGGUAAGUUCCGACCUGCACGAAUGGCGUAAUGAUGGCCAGGCUGUCUCCACCCGAGACUCAGUGAAAUUGAACUCGCUGUGAAGAUGCAGUGUACCCGCGGCAAGACGGAAAGACCCCGUGAACCUUUACUAUAGCUUGACACUGAACAUUGAGCCUUGAUGUGUAGGAUAGGUGGGAGGCUUUGAAGUGUGGACGCCAGUCUGCAUGGAGCCGACCUUGAAAUACCACCCUUUAAUGUUUGAUGUUCUAACGUGGACCCGUUACCCGGGUUGCGGACAGUGUCUGGUGGGUAGUUUGACUGGGGCGGUCUCCUCCUAAAGAGUAACGGAGGAGCACGAAGGUUGGCUAAUCCUGGUCGGACAUCAGGAGGUUAGUGCAAUGGCAUAAGCCAGCUUGACUGCGAGCGUGACGGCGCGAGCAGGUGCGAAAGCAGGUCAUAGUGAUCCGGUGGUUCUGAAUGGAAGGGCCAUCGCUCAACGGAUAAAAGGUACUCCGGGGAUAACAGGCUGAUACCGCCCAAGAGUUCAUAUCGACGGCGGUGUUUGGCACCUCGAUGUCGGCUCAUCACAUCCUGGGGCUGAAGUAGGUCCCAAGGGUAUGGCUGUUCGCCAUUUAAAGUGGUACGCGAGCUGGGUUUAGAACGUCGUGAGACAGUUCGGUCCCUAUCUGCCGUGGGCGCUGGAGAACUGAGGGGGGCUGCUCCUAGUACGAGAGGACCGGAGUGGACGCAUCACUGGUGUUCGGGUUGUCAUGCCAAUGGCACUGCCCGGUAGCUAAAUGCGGAAGAGAUAAGUGCUGAAAGCAUCUAAGCACGAAACUUGCCCCGAG